UUAAGCUACAAAGAGCGUAGGGAGAAUGCCUAGGUACCAAGAGCCGAAGAAGGACGUGAUAAGCUGCGAAAAGCCACGGGGAGGAGCAAAUAUCCAUCGAGCCGUGGAUGUCCGAAUGAGGGAACUCAUACAGUAAAAAAAGACUGUAUAUCCAUACAUGAGUAAAGUAGUGUAUAGGAAGGGAACGUGGGGAACUGAAACAUCUUAGUACCCAUAGGAAAAGAAAGUAACAACGAUUCCUGAAGUAGUGGCGAGCGAAACAGGAAGAGCCCAAACCAGAGGUAGUAAUACAUCUGGGGUUCGGAUUAUCAAUAAAGCCAAGAAUGAUGUUAGUAGAAUUACCAGGGAAGGUAAACCAAAGAAGGUGAAAGUCCUGUAUAUGAAAACAGAGUGAAGGCGAGAUAAAUCCAGAGUAGUGCGAGACACGAGAAAUCUCGUAUGAAAGAGCGGAGACCAUUCCGUAAGGCUAAAUACUACUUGGUAACCGAUAGAGAACAAGUACCGUGAGGGAACGGUGAAAAGGACCCCGGGAGGGGAGUGAAAUAGAACCUGAAACCCUAUGUUUACAAGCAGAUAGAGCGAUUUAAGGCGCGAUAUCGUACUUUUUGUAGAACGGUCCAGCGAGUUAUUGUAUAUGGCGAGGUUAAGUUCUGAAUAAGGAAUGGAGCCGAAGAGAAAUCGAGUCUGAAAAGGGCGAUAUAAGUCAUAUAUAAUAGACCCGAAACCGGGUGACCUAUCCAUGGUCAGGAUGAAGCUGAAGUAAAAUUCAGUGGAGGUCCGAACUGAUUGUCGUUAAAAAGGCACCGGAUGAACUGUGGAUAGCGGAGAAAUUCCAAUCGAACUCGGAGAUAGCUGGUUCUCCUCGAAAUAGCUUUAGGGCUAGCCUUGAGGUCAAAGAAUUAUGGGGGUAGAGCACUGAAUGAGGUAGGGGCCAAACCAGGUUACCGAACUCUAUCAAACUGCGAAUACCAUAAUUAGAAUACUCAGGAGUCAGACUGCGGGAGCUAAGUUCCGUGGUCAAAAGGGAAAGAGCCCAGACCGUCAAUUAAGGUCCCAAAGAUAUAGUUAAGUGGAAAACGAUGUGAUUUUGCAUAAACAACCAGGAUGUUGGCUCAGAAGCAGCCACUCAUUCAAAGAGUGCGUAACAGCUCACUGGUCGAGUGAAGUUGCGCGGAAAAUUACCGGGGCUAAACUAUACACCGAAAUUUCGGAUUUACAUAUGAAAAUAUGUAAGUGGUAGAGGAGCAUUCUGUAGUAGGACGAAGUCAAAGCGAAAGCAUUGGUGGACGAGGCAGAAGAGAGAAUGCUGGAAUAAGUAGCGAGAGCAAGGUGAGAAUCCUUGCCGUCGAAAGUCUAAGGUUUCCUGGGGAAGGUUCGUCCGCCCAGGGUAAGUCGGGGCCUAAGGAGAGGCCGAAAGGCGUAUCUGAUGGAUAGCAGGUGGAAAUUCCUGCACUAUAGCUAGUUUUAAAAGAUGCAAGGGACGCAGUAGAGGAAGAUAACCAAGGAAGAGGAAAGAUUUGGUCCGCAAGGGAUAGUGAAAAUUAAUAGUAACGAAAUAUCAAGAAUCACACUGACGAGAAAAGCUUGUAGAUAUUAACUAGAAAUACCCGUACCGCAAACCGACACAGGUAGAUGAGGAGAGGAUCCUAAGACGAGCGGGAGAAGCAUUGUUAAGGAACUCGGCAAAAUAACCCCGUAACUUCGGGAGAAGGGGAGCCUAAGUAAAAUUAGGUCGCAGAGAAAAGGCCCAAGCAACUGUUUAACAAAAACACAGGUUUCUGCUAAAUCGAAAGAUGAAGUAUAGGAGCUGACGCCUGCCCAGUGCUGGAAGGUUAAGGGAAAGAGUUAGGUGUAAAUCGAAGCUUAGAACUAAAGCCCCAGUGAACGGCGGCCGUAACUAUAACGGUCCUAAGGUAGCGAAAUUCCUUGUCAGGUAAGUUCUGACCCGCACGAAAGGCGUAAUGAUUUGGGCACUGUCUCGACAAUGUACCCGGCGAA
rnacentral:rRNA from 1 species